AUUGAACGCUGGCGGCAGGCCUAACACAUGCAAGUCGAGCGAGCGGCGGACGGGUGAGUAAUGUAUGGGGACUGCCCGAUAGAGGGGGCUAACUACUGGAAACGGUGGCUAAUACCGCAUACUAUCGGAUAACCCAUAUGGGAUUAGCUAGUAGGUGGGGUAAAGGCUCACAUAGGCGACGAUCUCUAGCUGGUCUGAGAGGAUGAUCGGCCAGACUGGGACUGAGACACGGCCCAGACUCCUACGGAGGCAGCAGUGGGGAAUAUUGGACAAUGGGCGCAAGCCUGAGGCAGCAAGGCCGCGUGUAUGAAGAAGGCCUUAGGGUUGUAAAGUACUGUCGGCGGGGAGGCGUUACCCGCAGAAGAAGCACCGGCUAACUCCGUGCCAGCAGCCGCGGUAAUAC
rnacentral:rRNA from 1 species